UACGUAGGGUGCGAGCGUUAAUCGGAAUUACUGGGCGUAAAGCGUGCGCAGGCGGUCGUGUAAGACAGAUGUGAAAUCCCCGGGCUCAACCUGGGAAUUGCAUUUGUGACUGCCCGACUAGAGUGUGUCAGAGGGGGGUAGAAUUCCACGUGUAGCAGUGAAAUGCGUAGAGAUGUGGAGGAAUACCGAUGGCGAAGGCAGCCCCCUGGGAUAACACUGACGCUCAUGCACGAAAGCGUGGGGAGCAAACAGG
rnacentral:rRNA from 1 species